UACGUAGGUGGCAAGCGUUAUCCGGAAUUAUUGGGCGUAAAGAGCGCGCAGGUGGUUGAUUAAGUCUGAUGUGAAAGCCCACGGCUUAACCGUGGAGGGUCAUUGGAAACUGGUCGACUUGAGUGCAGAAGAGGAAAGUGGAAUUCCAUGUGUAGCGGUGAAAUGCGUAGAUAUAUGGAGGAACACCAGUGGCGAAGGCGACUUUCUGGUCUAUUAUUGACGCUGAGGCUCGAAAGCAUGGGUAGCAACAGGAUUAGA
rnacentral:rRNA from 1 species